UCGAAGGCCCAGCUGAUGAUGCAGGAUUUUGCAGGUUUCGGGAGGUCGAUCGCAUUUAAGAUUUGCUGUUGUGAUCCCGAGGUGUUGUUGUUAGAAUGGGAGUAGCUCGAAUUCUAGCCCGCUCCUAGUAUUGGCACUGUAUCGGUUGAGCGUGGUGCACCACAAACAGCCUCGGCUGUAGGGUUCGAUUGCAUUGAUCAAAUUUUUUCUUUAGAGAGAAGUUUCGACCUUGUGUGUCGGUGCAUGGCGUUAGUCAUCGGCAGAGCGAUGGGGCUCGGCACGUAUGAUGCCAAGCUGCAA
rnacentral:lncRNA from 1 species